rnacentral:rRNA from 1 species
GAGUUUGAUCGUGGCUCAGAUUGAACGCUGGCGGCAUGCCUUACACAUGCAAGUCGAACGGUAACAGGUCUUCGGAUGCUGACGAGUGGCGAACGGGUGAGUAAUACAUCGGAACGUGCCCGAUCGUGGGGGAUAACGGAGCGAAAGCUUUGCUAAUACCGCAUACGAUCUACGGAUGAAAGCAGGGGACCGCAAGGCCUUGCGCGGACGGAGCGGCCGAUGGCAGAUUAGGUAGUUGGUGGGAUAAAAGCUUACCAAGCCGACGAUCUGUAGCUGGUCUGAGAGGACGACCAGCCACACUGGGACUGAGACACGGCCCAGACUCCUACGGGAGGCAGCAGUGGGGAAUUUGGACAAUGGGCGAAAGCCUGAUCCAGCCAUGCCGCGUGCAGGAUGAAGGCCU